GUCAGGGCGCAGUCAGUAGCAGCUCUGUCCUUUGUGUAUUCUUACGUUUGGUUGAAGUAGAAGAAUAGGACAAAUCUUGCGAAUUGUGUGCGUUAAUAUGGACGAAAAGCACGACGUCACGCUAGUACGAAGCGUCUUCGGAUUUUCAAAUCAGCUCAAAGUGCAUGGGUCAAGAUUCACGGAGGACCUUAGUUCAUUCUCCCCUAAUUUGUCAAGUUGCACCUCCGUCUUGUACACGAGAUCCUGGGUCAUCGACGAAUAUGCGUGAUUAUUUUGGAUCAUUCCAGUGAAGCGACGAUGAACAGGAAAGCAAAGCAACAAGUGUAUCCCAAUGAGUCUGUAACCCCAGGGGGACUUCAAAUGUCUCAUUGUGUUAAUCAUCAAUCCUUUGGACAGACUGCACACAAUCGGGAAGAAGGAACAUGACAAGAGAAAGGUCAUCUUCCAGCGGGCUUCCGGAACCAUACUGCCACAUGACACGAGAGGCCAGAGUUUUGCUAAAAACUUCAGGAAGGACCCAUUUAACUGAUGAAAUCUGUCCAGAAAAUGCAGAUAACGAGCAACAACGGUUGUCCCACGCCGUCGCAGUAUUACUCGCAACAAAGUCGUAAUGCAUUCGAGCAUUAUAAAACAGUAAAAACUUCAUCAUCCCAGGCGCAUUGGGACAGCGACCGCCAAGGACCAACUUACUCUGCUUCCCCAUAGAAGUGGGAUACAGAACGAGGUACAGAGGACGUUAAUAAACAAAGGGGAUUGUGCAGAUGAUAGAUUUGCUUAUUUGGAUAAACUCUAUCAAAGUUUUAGAUCCUCAAUCAAGCUGCCAAGUCGUCAGUGUUCAGCCCUUAAAACUGCUGGAGAUGUAACUCGAAGAAUCAACUCUUUAGUCUGUUUUACCAAUCGCAUGUUUCCUUGGAUUGCAAAAUUCAAGAAAAACCCUACAAAGAAGAUUCACAGCGCUUAGUCUAUUGAUGAGUGCAGAAGCGACAAGAAGACCCCACUGGGAUUCAUUGCCUCCAAAAGUUCACGUACUGCAUAAGUGCCCACUGCCCCGUAGAGCUUGAGGAGUUCUACUUCAAUCGUUUGUGCAGACGGGGACGUGUGGAAAUUAUCAGUUUGCUCAAACCCAAUAAGAGGCAGAUAACGUUCUGAACUGCAGGUCAAAAAUGAUGCCACAUUUGCUGGACAAUCUCUAACCAAAAGCCAACAAUCGCCUUUGCAAAUAGACAGAUUCUAUCAGUGACCGAACCUUUGCAGUCCUGCAAACUUCAGAGGAACUGCUCUGACCAGGUUUAUCAAAGCCCUUCCUGUUCUUUUGUACCGAAUCUUGCACCAGUUGAAUGUCCUCGAUUUGUGAACGAUUUCGCUUCUCUUGAGUAUUCCGAAUACGAGUGGAAGAUUUGUGUAUGGUAUCCACUUUGCCUCAUGUGCAAAGUCCACCCUCGUAUGUUAUUCCCCGAAGUAUGUAUGACCUUACUGUUCAUCCGGCAGUUCAACCGCUUUUCUCCAGAAACAUCCCAUCGGCGGGGCAUUCGACCUUUCAGCACUUCUCAUUAAAGUAAAGCUCCGUAGGCAUAUUAUUUAAUUCCAGAUGUAUGGAAUAGGCUAUUUACAAAAUUAAGUCAAUGGCAAAUAAUUGUCAAUUAUUGGUAUUAUUAAAUGCAUUUAAAUGACAAUGUGCAAACAUUUAGGCCAAUUAAUUUGCGGUUUUAGUUCGUGAGAUUUAGCUCCUUUUUAAUGGCUUCUAAGUCAAGGUAUUUCUCGCAAUGUUUGGGCAAAUUAAACGUCUUUGCUGAAAAUACCUUCUUUGUCCCAAUGGAAUGACGAAUGCUUCCCUUAUGUUACAGGCAUGUAGUAGCCUAAUAAUAAAAAUGGACGAAAAAUUAACUUGGACGUUUUUAUGUUUGAACUAUAAAAUGUCGAUUUACAUCAACAUCUAACUCAGUGGCGGUUCUUGGUGCCCUAAGCGAGAUCCGACGUUGCGGCCCCUUAACUUCCCAACCCAAAAGAAAGAAAUCCAUGCUUCUGGAAUGGCAUGAGGGUGAGUAAAUGAUGAGAGAAUUUUCAUUUUUUGGG